rnacentral:rRNA from 1 species
GACGAACGCUGGCGGCGCGCUUAAUACAUGCAAGUCGAGCGAGAACCAGAGCUUCGGCUCUGGGGAAGGCGGCGAACGGGUGAGUAUCACGUGAGUAAUCUGCCCUCGGCACCGGGAUAGCCCGGGGAAACCCGGAUUAAUACCAGAUGGCCUCUCGAGCCCUCGGGCUCGUGAGAAAAGGUAGCUUCGGCCUCCGGCCGAGGAGGAGCUCGCGGCGGAUUAGCUUGUUGGUGGGGUAACGGCGCACCAAGGCGACGAUCCGUAGCUGGUCUGAGAGGACGAUCAGCCACACUGGGACUGAGACACGGCCCAGACUCCUACGGGAGGCAGCAGUAGGGAAUCUUGCGCAAUGGGCGAAAGCCUGACGCAGCGACGCCGCGUGCGGGAAGAAGGCCUUCGGGUUGUAAACCGCUUUCAGGAGGGACGAAGCCACUCGGGUUAAUAGCCCAGAGGGUGACGGUACCUCCAGAAGAAGCCCCGGCUAACUACGUGCCAGCAGCCGCCGUAAUAC